CUAUGUAGGACAUGCUGGUGCCUCGGCGCACGGACUGGUCAACAUCUAAAACAUCAAUGGCAGCGACGCCUGUUGUCGUCAUUCAAAAUGGUGUCAGUACUCUGAUAAAUUUAUGAUCAUUGUCCCCCAAUUGCCAUGGCUAGGUGAAAACAUUAGACAAGAGACUACUACAUUCACAAUGUAGCUCAUCCUGAGCCAGCCAUUGAUUUUCUGUUUGUUGUGCGCCUCGUUUUACCUAAGCACGUCACUUGUUGCCUGGACAUGGCCUGGAGCAGACGAUAGAGAAAACUGCGUUCUUCAUAGCCUUUUGUAAAGGUAUAGAUUUUUGUGAGACUCAGAAGAUACAGAAAUAGAAAAUGAAGGGAAUUACUUCGUUGGAAAUCGUUUUGAUUGUCGCAAUGGUGAUAACGGUGACUUUCUCCGCCGAGACUAGGGGUGUUAUAUGCAAGGGAGACGGUCCAGGUUCCAUCCCGGACCCAAUACCAGACGCCAAGCAACAAGCAGCGUUCCAAUGCGCGCUGUCGUGUCUCAAAUCCGGAUCCGCUUCAUGCGCAACUUCCGGGUUCGCAAUGACGUGGGACGGGCCGGCUUGCGAGGCGAAGGGAGUCGGGGGCGCAUCGAGGACUGACUACACCUGUACAGCCAUGUAGAACGGUGACAACAUGUCUAAUUAUUCGUGUUGUAGCUGAUGCGGUCACACUGUUACACGUGUACCAUAUUUAUUUCGGGGAACAUACAUUUUCAAUUCAGUCCUUUAAGACGAUUGUCUAGUUUGACGACCACAUUUAAAUUUUCUUUAUGUUUCAAAGUAUUUCAAGAUCAUAUUGCAAACAUUAUACUUAUAGUGUAUUAUUACACUUCGACUUCUAUUUAGCCUUUUUGUUGGCGAUACAGUGGUGAAUAUCGCUGUUCACUUUUGAUCAUGAUUUUACAAAAACGCUUCAACAAGUCUCUUGUCCUUAUUGCUUGUAUGUUGAUUUUAUUCAUUGAUGUACAAUGUGUCAUGUUGUAGACCUAUGUUAAGACCUCGCCAUCAUUGUGUGAUGCGAAAUACUUGUAAUACGGUUGAAAAGGACAGGAUAUUGAACAAAAAGUAUAUCAGUAACGAUAAAAGUGAAUUAGGAAUGGCUUUAUAUUUCCUGAAGAUUUUAUGCUUUCUGCAAAAUUGUCCGAAAAAACAAUCAACACGUCGAUUGAUAUAUGAAUGUUGAAAAGAUACACAAUUUCUUUAAUUGUUUUUCUAAAUAUUUUCUACAAUUGUCAUGGUAACGGUUAUUGGCGUACUGUAAGCCAAACAAGUCAUGCUAUUGUUCCGGAAACAUUUCAGUGAGUUAUCAAUCGGGUCAGUUGUCAUUCUUAGCAGUCAUUUCAAUUCCACUUCAUUUGUCCAGCUCAGUUUCUCCGAUGUUCCAGUCUACCCAUAUUACACUGACACAAACACAAUGAUUGUAUCAACACUGUACCAGUUCCAGCGUCUAGACAGACACUUGGGGGGGAGGAGUAGUCUUGAGGUUAAAACGUCAGCUCGAAUUGGAUUCCAGACAUUUCGGCUUGGUCAUAUCUGAGGACCACCGCAGUAGGAAUAUUGCUUAGGCGGCGUAAAUUCAUACUCACUCAC